ACCAAGUUCUUAUGUCGGCAAACACGGUUUCCAGCGAUGAGCCCUUACACUCAAAAGCCUUCUUCGGGCAUCCACCUAUCUCGUGUAAAAUCAAUGCAUUCAAAUUUCAUCUGAUUCAAUCACAUAUCAUAUUCUGUAGGGUAUCGUCAUACCCGAUUUGCAAGUCAUUAAUAUCACAUCAUUACUUCAUGCAACCAUUAUAUUCAUCAUAUUUCAACAUAAUAACCCUCUCCUUGCAAGUCGAAAAUCAUAUCCACUUUCAAAAUAGUUCAUGUCAUGCUUGUCAAGAUGAUUUCAAACAAUUCACAUCAUAUGAAAAUUUCAAA
rnacentral:lncRNA from 1 species